AUGGAGAACGCGCACACAAAGACGGUGGAGGAGGUGCUGGGCCACUUCGGCGUCAACGAGAGCACGGGGCUGAGCCUGGAGCAGGUCAAGAAGCUCAAGGAGAAAUGGGGUUCCAACGAGUUACCGGCUGAAGAAGGAAAAACCUUGCUGGAACUUGUGAUUGAGCAGUUUGAAGACUUACUAGUUAGAAUUUUAUUGCUGGCAGCUUGUAUAUCUUUUGUUUUGGCUUGGUUUGAAGAAGGUGAAGAAACAAUAACAGCCUUUGUAGAACCCUUUGUAAUUUUACUUAUAUUAGUGGCCAAUGCAAUUGUGGGUGUAUGGCAGGAAAGAAAUGCUGAGAAUGCAAUCGAAGCCCUUAAGGAAUAUGAGCCUGAAAUGGGCAAAGUAUACCGACAGGACAGAAAGAGUGUCCAGCGGAUUAAAGCUAAAGACAUAGUUCCUGGUGAUAUUGUAGAAAUUGCUGUUGGUGACAAAGUUCCUGCUGAUAUAAGAUUAACUUCCAUCAAAUCUACUACUCUAAGAGUUGACCAGUCUAUUCUCACAGGCGAGUCUGUGUCCGUCAUCAAGCACACAGACCCCGUCCCGGACCCGCGGGCCGUCAACCAAGAUAAGAAGAACAUGCUCUUUUCUGGUACAAACAUUGCUGCUGGCAAAGCCAUGGGAGUGGUGGUGGCAACUGGAGUGAACACAGAAAUUGGCAAGAUCCGGGAUGAGAUGGUGGCGACAGAGCAGGAGAGAACCCCACUCCAGCAGAAACUAGAUGAGUUUGGGGAACAGCUUUCCAAAGUCAUCUCCCUCAUUUGCAUUGCGGUCUGGAUCAUAAACAUUGGGCACUUCAACGACCCAGUUCAUGGAGGCUCCUGGAUAAGGGGUGCUAUUUACUACUUCAAAAUUGCGGUGGCUCUGGCUGUGGCAGCCAUUCCUGAAGGUCUGCCUGCUGUCAUCACCACCUGCCUGGCUCUUGGAACUCGCAGAAUGGCAAAGAAAAAUGCCAUUGUUCGAAGCCUCCCUUCUGUAGAAACCCUUGGUUGUACUUCUGUUAUCUGCUCAGACAAGACUGGUACGCUGACAACGAACCAGAUGUCUGUGUGCAGGAUGUUCAUUCUGGACAAAGUUGAAGGUGAUAGCUGUUCCCUUAAUGAGUUUACCAUUACUGGAUCAACUUAUGCACCUAUUGGAGAAGUGCAUAAAGAUGAUAAACCAGUUAAAUGUCAUCAAUAUGAUGGUCUUGUGGAAUUGGCAACAAUUUGUGCUCUUUGUAAUGAUUCUGCGUUGGAUUACAAUGAGGCAAAGGGUGUGUAUGAAAAAGUUGGAGAAGCUACAGAGACUGCUCUCACUUGCCUAGUAGAGAAGAUGAAUGUAUUUGAUACUGAAUUGAAGGGUCUUUCUAAAAUAGAGCGAGCAAAUGCCUGCAACUCGGUCAUCAAGCAGUUGAUGAAAAAGGAAUUUACUCUGGAGUUUUCACGUGACAGAAAAUCGAUGUCAGUUUAUUGUACGCCAAACAAACCGAGCCGGACAUCGAUGAGCAAAAUGUUUGUGAAGGGUGCCCCCGAAGGUGUCAUUGACAGGUGCACCCACAUUCGAGUUGGCAGUACUAAAGUUCCUAUGACCCCGGGAGUCAAACAGAAGAUCAUGUCUGUCAUUCGGGAAUGGGGUAGUGGCAGCGACACACUGCGGUGCCUGGCUCUGGCCACUCACGACAACCCACUGAGAAGAGAAGAAAUGAACCUUGAGGACUCUGCCAACUUUAUUAAAUACGAGACCAAUCUGACUUUCGUUGGCUGCGUGGGCAUGCUGGACCCUCCAAGAAUUGAAGUGGCCUCUUCCGUGAAGCUGUGCCGGCAAGCAGGCAUCCGGGUCAUCAUGAUCACGGGGGACAACAAGGGCACUGCAGUGGCCAUCUGUCGGCGCAUUGGCAUCUUCGGGCAGGACGAGGAUGUGACGUCAAAGGCUUUUACGGGUCGGGAGUUUGAUGAGCUCAAUCCUUCAGCCCAGAGAGAUGCCUGUUUGAAUGCUCGCUGUUUCGCUCGAGUCGAACCUUCUCACAAGUCAAAAAUUGUAGAAUUUCUUCAGUCUUUUGAUGAGAUUACAGCUAUGACUGGGGACGGCGUGAAUGAUGCUCCCGCCCUGAAGAAAUCGGAGAUCGGCAUUGCCAUGGGCUCUGGCACGGCGGUGGCUAAAACAGCCUCAGAGAUGGUGCUGGCCGACGACAACUUCUCCACCAUCGUGGCUGCGGUGGAGGAGGGGCGCGCCAUCUACAACAACAUGAAGCAGUUCAUCCGCUAUCUCAUCUCCUCGAAUGUGGGGGAAGUGGUCUGUAUCUUCCUGACAGCAGCCCUUGGAUUUCCUGAGGCUUUAAUUCCUGUCCAGCUGCUCUGGGUCAAUCUGGUGACAGACGGCCUGCCUGCCACAGCCCUGGGCUUCAACCCUCCCGACCUGGACAUCAUGAACAAACCACCCCGGAACCCGAAGGAGCCCCUGAUCAGCGGGUGGCUCUUUUUCCGUUACCUGGCCAUUGGCUGUUACGUUGGCGCAGCUACCGUGGGUGCCGCCGCGUGGUGGUUCAUUGCUGCCGACGGAGGGCCCAGGGUGUCCUUCUACCAGCUGAGCCACUUCCUACAGUGUAAAGAUGACAACCCGGACUUUGAAGGAGUGGAUUGUGCAAUCUUUGAGUCCCCAUACCCGAUGACAAUGGCGCUGUCUGUUCUAGUAACCAUAGAGAUGUGUAACGCCCUCAACAGCUUGUCCGAAAACCAGUCCCUGCUGAGGAUGCCCCCCUGGGAGAACAUCUGGCUCGUGGGCUCCAUCUGCCUGUCCAUGUCGCUCCACUUCCUCAUCCUCUACGUGGAACCUUUGCCACUUAUUUUCCAGAUCACACCGCUGAAUCUGACCCAGUGGCUGAUGGUGCUGAAAAUCUCCUUGCCUGUGAUUCUGAUGGACGAGACGCUCAAGUUUGUGGCCCGCAACUACCUGGAACCUGGUAAAGAGUGUGUGCAGCCUGCCACCAAGUCCUGCUCGCUCUCGGCAUGCACCGAUGGGAUUUCCUGGCCGUUUGUGCUGCUCAUAAUGCCCCUGGUGGUCUGGGUCUAUAGCACAGACACUAACUUUAGUGAUAUGUUCUGGUCUUGACUGACAGUUUUACAUAAAGAAGAUGUUUAACUUAAUCAAUUAAUUUUUUUAUUGUUUAAAGCAACUGUCUAUUUCUGCUGAAUUUUCACAUGAACAUAUUGGCUGGUGAAGGAGAUUUCAUACUCUAGAUUUUGUUUUGCUUUUCUGACUCCAGUGGGGCAAGAUUUUCCUUUUUUAUACACAUAAUUAAAGUGUCCAUUGACAUGUACAGAGAACUAACACUAUUUUAUGCAAAUAUUUUUUUGUAGAUGAAAAAGCAUGUACAGUGUUCUGUUUAAUACUCAUCCUUGUAUAAAAAAAUAGUUGAGCCAGCAGACAUUGUCAGCAAAUUAAUUGGCAGCAGAUUUUAGGAAAUGAAUGUGUGUGGGUUUUUUUUUCUUUUUCUAAAACUAAAUAGCAUGUAUUGUGUCUUUUGCAUGAUCAUCUGGAUUUAAUCUGAGAUCACAGUCUAAUUUUUAUUCAUAAGCCAAUUUUUCUGCACUGAGCAGAGUACUGCUACCUCAGUCAGUAUUUUUUGGUUUGCCACUUCCCUCACUCCCCCGGCCCCCGUUCACUCCCACCCCCACUCCUGGCCCCGCUCGGCUGCUUCUCCUGUAGGUUCCGAUGGUUCUGUUUACAUCAGUCUUAACAAGAGGUAUGCCUGUUCUCGCUUGUGCAGAAAACAUUGUUCCAGAUUCAAUCGACUGGGUUCGUGUCCCCCCACGUAGUUUUUAAGGUUAUUUAUUUAAAUGUCUAAUGUAUUUUAUUGUAACAGACAUUGUUUUGCCAACAUUGCCUAUUUCAGUGGCACUUCACAAUCUAGUUUAAAAAGGAAAAUAAAACAUUUUAAAUGGACAGAAAAAUAACUGUCUUGUUUUUAACUUUUAAGUGGUUUAGCUUGAACUAUAACAAAUUGUGUCCAAUUUUCUCUUAAGUUCUUAGCUCAGAACUUGAGUUUUCUUGUGCCCGAGGGGAAGGAGGAUCGUGUUCUGCUGCGUAGGUAGCUGUAGGAACGAACACAUAGGCACCCGUUGUCACCCAUGAUACUUUUUUGCAAGUUUCUGCUGGCCUGUUCUAGCCUGGUGUAGAGAACAUAAGGGGGAGUGUGUGUGUAUGUGUGUGUGUGUGUGUAUGUGUUUUUGUAAAAAUCUGUAAAUAGCACAUGACCAAAUGAACAUAUUGUAUAGAACUAUUUUUAUUUGAAUGUGGCACUAACCAACACCUUGGUUACUAUGAUACGUUGCGCAUGUUUGAGAUCAGUCUUACCAGCCGUGUGUAAGUCAUUAACUGUCCUAACUAUGGUGUUUUCCUCCAAUGCCUUCCAACAUCCAUCAACUAACCAAUACUGGAGUAACCGCUUCCUAAACCAUUUUGCAGAAAUAUAAGGGUGUUCGGUUGCGUGCAUGUGCGUUUUUAGCAACACAUCUACCAGCCCUCUGCAUGAUUGAUGUUGGGGGAAAAAGAAAAGUAGAAAAAGUCCCCAACUCAUUGUGUGUUAUGUGGAGGAAACGUAUUACCAACGGGGUUUAGCUUUU